UUUUCGAUCUUCAAAUUUGCAGACAUUAACUUAAAAAACCAAAAGUUUAUUUUGAAGUACGGAAAAAUCUCAAUACACAAAGUUAGUGUAAAUGAGCGAAAUACUUUGUCAGUCAUUUUAAAAAAUUUAUAUUUAAUUAAAAGCAAUGUUGUCUUAGACCGGUGUCAUUGGGCAGCUUUGAGAUGAUUAAAAUUGUGAUAUACAUAAUUUAAAAUUCCUUUAUUUUCGAGUGGUUGAAUGAUACAAUGUUGUGUGACUUUUUGUUAUGUUUCCAAUAAUAAUAAAAAAAAGUGUCCCUUCAAAUUUUAACGCUAUUGAAAAAUGUAAAAUUUAGGAAAUUUUAUAAAGUAUGUACCUGGAAGUAAACAAAGAUGUGCAAACAUUAUUAGAGUUUUAAACAAUCAUAUCAUAUUGAAUUUUUGUUAAUUAACUAAAUUACUGUAAGUUAUUUGCUAAUCACAGUAGUUCACGUCAUCCAACUCAGAAUUAUUUCAGGUUUCAAGAACAUUUUUUUACUACACGAUGCUAGGAAGAAACCUUCUUAAAUAACGCUGUUGUUAAUUACAGAAACGAGCCUCAGCAAAUCAAAAUAAAUUAUAAAUGAGCCUCAGCAAAUUAAAGUAUUGUGAUAAUUUAUGUAAAUUUUUUUAUGAAAUUUUAAUUCAUUAUAUCUGAUUAUUUGUAUUUAAAUAAUAUUAUGCAAACGUAAGUUUUUUUAUUAGUGUU